rnacentral:rRNA from 1 species
GUGCAGCAGGCGCGAAACUUCACACUGUGCGAAAGCACGAUGAGGGAAUCCCAAGUGCUUGCACGUAAGUGUAAGCUGUUUCUCUGUCUAAAACGCAGAGAGAGUAAGGGCUGGGUAAGACGGGUGCCAGCCGCCGCGGUAAUACCUGCAGCUCAAGUGGUGACCGUUAUUAUUGGGCCUAAAACGUCCGUAGCCGGUUUAAUAAAUGCCUGGGUAAAUUGUGUAGCUUAACUAUACGAAUUCCGGGUAGACUGUUAAACUUGAGACCGGGAGAAGUUAGAGGUACUCCUGGGGUAGAGGUGAAAUUCUGUAAUCCUAGGGGGACCACCAGUGGCGAAGGCGUCUAACUAGAACGGGUCUGACGGUGAGGGACGAAGCCCUGGGGCGCAAAACGGGGAUUAGAUACCCGGGUAGU